rnacentral:rRNA from 1 species
CCUACGGGCGGCAGCAGUAGGGAAUAUUGCUCAAUGGGGGAAACCCUGAUGCAGCAACGCCGCGUGGAGGAUGAAGGUUUUCGGAUUGUAAACCUCUUUUGUUAGAGAAGAUAAUGACGGUAUCUAACGAAUAAGCACCGGCUAACUCCGUGCCAGCAGCCGCGGUAAUACGGAGGGUGCAAGCGUUACACGGAAUCACUGGGUGUAAAGAGCGCGUAGGCGGGAUAGCAAGUCAGAUGUGAAAUCCUAUGGCUUAACCAUAGAACUGCAUUUGAAACUGUUAUUCUAGAGUAUAGGAGAGGUAAGUGGAAUUCCUGGUGUAGGGGUGAAAUGCGUAGAGAUCAAGAGGAAUACUCGUGGCGAAGGCGACCUGCUGGAACAUAACUGACGCUGAUGCGCGAAAGCGUGGGGAGCAAACAGGAUUAGAUACCCCAGUAGUC